UACAGAGGUCUCAAGCGUUGUUCGGAUUCAUUGGGCGUAAAGGGUGCGUAGGCGGUGUCGUAAGCCGGAUGUGAAAUCCCGGGGCUUAACUUCGGAACUGCAUUCGAUACUGCGAUACUCGAGGACUCGAGAGGAGAUUGGAAUUCACGGUGUAGCAGUGAAAUGCGUAGAUAUCGUGAGGAAGACCAGUGGCGAAGGCGGAUCUCUGGAGAGUUCCUGACGCUGAGGCACGAAGGCCAGGGGAGCAAACGGG
rnacentral:rRNA from 1 species